rnacentral:rRNA from 1 species
GACGAACGCUGGCGGCGUGCUUAACACAUGCAAGUCGAACGGAAAGGCCUCUUUCGGGGGGUACUCGAGUGGCGAACGGGUGAGUAACACGUGAGUAGCCUGCCCUUGACUUUGGGAUAACUUCAGGAAACUGGGGCUAAUACCGGAUAGGAGCUCCUGCUGCAUGGUGGGGGUUGGAAAGUUUCGGCGGUUGGGGAUGGACUCGCGGCUUAUCAGCUUGUUGGUGGGGUAGUGGCUUACCAAGGCUUUGACGGGUAGCCGGCCUGGGAGGGUGACCGGCCAAAUUGGGGAUGGGAUAAGGCCCAGACUCCUACGGGAGGCAGCAGUGGGGAAUAUUGCACAAUGGGUGGAAGGCUGAUGCAGCAACGCCGUGUGCGGGAUGACGGGCUUCGGGUUGUAAACCGCUUUCGCUCAGGACGAAGCUUUGUGUGACGGUAGUGGGUAAAGAAGCACCGGCUAACUACGUG